GGGGGAGUAGCUCAGCGGAAAGAGCGUAGCGAACUUGCAUACUGUGUGUUUCAUACCUAAAGAUCUUACAUCAGCGUGCGCUCCGGUUCCUAAGGUCAUGGGUUCGAAUCCCAUCUCUCCUA
rnacentral:tRNA from 1 species